UGCUGGAGGUAUCAGAAGUGCGAAUGCUGACAUAAGUAACGAUAAAGCGGGUGAAAAGCCCGCUCGCCGGAAGACCAAGGGUUCCUGUCCAACGUUAAUCGGGGCAGGGUGAGUCGACCCCUAAGGCGAGGCCGAAAGGCGUAGUCGAUGGGAAACAGGUUAAUAUUCCUGUACUUGGUGUUACUGCGAAGGGGGGACGGAGAAGGCUAUGUUAGCCGGGCGACGGUUGUCCCGGUUUAAGCAUGUAGGCUGAUUAUCCAGGCAAAUCCGGAUAAUCAAGGCUGAGGUGUGAUGACGAGGCACUACGGUGCUGAAGUAACAAAUGCCCUGCUUCCAGGAAAAGCCUCUAAGCAUCAGGUAACAUCAAAUCGUACCCCAAACCGACACAGGUGGUCAGGUAGAGAAUACCAAGGCGCUUGAGAGAACUCGGGUGAAGGAACUAGGCAAAAUGGUGCCGUAACUUCGGGAGAAGGCACGCUGGUGUGUAGGUGAAGUCCCUGCGGAUGGAGCUGAGACCAGUCGAAGAUACCAGCUGGCUGCAACUGUUUAUUAAAAACACAGCACUGUGCAAACACGAAAGUGGACGUAUACGGUGUGACGCCUGCCCGGUGCCGGAAGGUUAAUUGAUGGGGUUAUCCGUAAGGAGAAGCUCUUGAUCGAAGCCCCGGUAAACGGCGGCCGUAACUAUAACGGUCCUAAGGUAGCGAAAUUCCUUGUCGGGUAAGUUCCGACCUGCACGAAUGGCGUAAUGAUGGCCAGGCUGUCUCCACCCGAGACUCAGUGAAAUUGAACUCGCUGUGAAGAUGCAGUGUACCCGCGGCAAGACGGAAAGACCCCGUGAACCUUUACUAUAGCUUGACACUGAACAUUGAGCCUUGAUGUGUAGGAUAGGUGGGAGGCUUUGAAGCGUGGACGCCAGUCUGCGUGGAGCCAACCUUGAAAUACCACCCUUUAAUGUUUGAUGUUCUAACGUUGGCCCCUUACCGGGGUUGCGGACAGUGUCUGGUGGGUAGUUUGACUGGGGCGGUCUCCUCCCAAAGCGUAACGGAGGAGCACGAAGGUUAGCUAAUCCUGGUCGGACAUCAGGAGGUUAGUGCAAUGGCAUAAGCUAGCUUGACUGCGAGCGUGACGGCGCGAGCAGGUGCGAAAGCAGGUCAUAGUGAUCCGGUGGUUCUGAAUGGAAGGGCCAUCGCUCAACGGAUAAAAGGUACUCCGGGGAUAACAGGCUGAUACCGCCCAAGAGUUCAUAUCGACGGCGGUGUUUGGCACCUCGAUGUCGGCUCAUCACAUCCUGGGGCUGAAGUAGGUCCCAAGGGUAUGGCUGUUCGCCAUUUAAAGUGGUACGCGAGCUGGGUUUAGAACGUCGUGAGACAGUUCGGUCCCUAUCUGCCGUGGGCGCUGGAGAAUUGAGGGGGGCUGCUCCUAGUACGAGAGGACCGGAGUGGACGCAUCACUGGUGUUCGGGUUGUCAUGCCAAUGGCACUGCCCGGUAGCUAAAUGCGGAAGAGAUAAGUGCUGAAAGCAUCUAAGCACGAAACUUGCCCCGAGAUGAGUUCUCCCUGAGACUUUAAGUCUCCUGAAGGAACGUUAAAGACGAUGACGUUGAUAGGCCGGGUGUGUAAGCGCAGCGAUGCGUUGAGCUAACCGGUACUAAUGAACCGUGAGGCUUAACCUU
rnacentral:rRNA from 1 species